GUGAAUCAUCAAAUUUUGAACGCAAAUUGCACUCUCUGGUAUUCCGGAGAGUAUGCCUGUUUGAGGGGCAGUUUAAAUAAAAAUCGGUGUGGUUGCUGCCUUUCGUAGUGACGCACCGGAUUUGGGUCGUCUUGCCUUCGGUUAAGUGACCUAAAAUUUUGCAUUAGUUUUUUUGAACGUAUUUAAAUGAUUUUACGUACGUUUGCGAUAUCGAAGACGAGGUUUUGUCCGCCUCAUGAGUCGCGCCUAUACU
rnacentral:misc_RNA from 1 species